CCUACGGGCGGCUGCAGUGGGGAAUAUUGCACAAUGGGGGAAACCCUGAUGCAGCGACGCCGCGUGAGUGAAGACGUAAUUCGUUACGUAAAGCUCUAUCAAUAGGGACGAAAAUGACGGUACCUGAGUAAGAAGCUCCGUCUACAUACGUGCCAGCUGCCGCGGUAAUACGUAGGGGGCAAGCGUUAUCCGGAUGUACUGGGUGUAAAGGGAGCGUAGACGGUGCGCCAAGUCUGGAGUGAACUGCCGCAGCGUAACUGCGGAACUGCAUUGGAAACUGGCGCACUAGAGUGCAGGAGGGGUGAGCGGAAUGACUGGGGUAGAGGUGAAAUGCGUAGAUAUUAGGAGGAACACCGGUGGCGAAGGCAGCUUACUGGACCGUAACUGACGUUGAGGCUCGAAAGCGUGGGGAGCAAACAGGAUUAGAUACCCGAGUAGUC
rnacentral:rRNA from 1 species